CUAUGCCCUAACCAUUCCUCCUUUACCCCCUCCUUCUAUUAGAGAAACCCUCGUCGCCGCCUAAAACCCUUUGUCCCCUUAAAAGAGUCAGCCACUCCUGACCCGAGCCCUAACUCGAACUCCGGCCCCGACCCCAGACCUAGCCCUAACCCGAUGAAGCCAAUAGGUCAGCAUUCGAAGCCCAAGUCCCUGACAGGAG
rnacentral:lncRNA from 1 species